UCCAAUCGAAACUCCCUGGUGUCC
rnacentral:siRNA from 1 species